rnacentral:rRNA from 1 species
UGGGGAAUCUUCCGCAAUGGACGAAAGUCUGACGGAGCAACGCCGCGUGAGUGAUGAAGGAUUUCGGUCUGUAAAGCUCUGUUGUUUAUGACGAACGUGCAGUGUGUGAACAAUGCAUUGCAAUGACGGUAGUAAACGAGGAAGCCACGGCUAACUACGUGCCAGCAGCCGCGGUAAUACGUAGGUGGCUAGCGUUGUCCGGAAUUAUUGGGCGUAAAGAGCAUGUAGGCGGCUUAAUAAGUCGAGCGUGAAAAUGCGGGGCUCAACCCCGUAUGGCGCUGGAAACUGUUAGGCUUGAGUGCAGGAGAGGAAAGGGGAAUUCCCAGUGUAGCGGUGAAAUGCGUAGAUAUUGGAAGGAACACCAGUGGCGAAGGCGCCUUUCUGGACUGUGUCUGACGCUGAGAUGCGAAAGCCAGGGUAGCGAACGAG